AUUCCUAUGGUGUAAUGGUAACACACUUGCCUAAGUUACUGGCAAGGGAUCUGGGUUCGAAUCCCGGUGGGUUUU
rfam:Crassostrea gigas strain 05x7-T-G4-1.051#20 contig7226, whole genome shotgun sequence.